rnacentral:rRNA from 1 species
GAUGAACGCUGGCGGCGUGCCUAAUACAUGCAAGUCGAGCGAACAGACGAGGAGCUUGCUCCUCUGACGUUAGCGGCGGACGGGUGAGUAACACGUGGAUAACCUACCUAUAAGACUGGGAUAACUUCGGGAAACCGGAGCUAAUACCGGAUAAUAUAUUGAACCGCAUGGUUCAAUAGUGAAAGACGGUGUUGCUGUCACUUAUAGAUGGAUCCGCGCCGCAUUAGCUAGUUGGUAAGGUAACGGCUUACCAAGGCAACGAGGGGUAGCCGACGUGAGAGGGGGGUCGGCCGCACUGGAACUGAGACACGGUCCAGACUCCUACGGGAGGCAGCAGUAGGGAAUCUUCCACAAUGGGCGAAAGCAUGACGGAGCAACGCCGCGUGAGUGAUGAAGGUCUUCGGAUCGUAAAACUCUGUUAUUAGGGAAGAACAAAUGUGCAAGUAACUAUGCACGUCUUGACGGUACCUAAUCAGAAAGCCACGGCUAACUACGUG